GGUGUGUUUCUCGGAAUACUAGUGUUCACUCUGAUCGUUUACUUGAUCGUGUGUGCUGUCACGGGUAAAACAUAAGAUAGCGUAUGACCAAAAAGGUGUGCUACAUCCUCGCGGGCACAUUGCUCGGCUUCCUCGUCAUCGGUUUCAUCGUUUACGCAGUUUUGUGCAAAUAAGAUUUUGCAUGGACGAAUCAGGAGCGAGAGAGUGCCGUAAAUAUUUGGACGAAAAAUUCGGGAA